CCCUGUCUAUACUUGCAUUUUUUUCUAUUAAUUGACACAAUUAUUUUUGCAAGUUGGAAAAAAAUGCAGUAUUAAUUUCAUUUGCAACAAACUUAAUAGAUUAAUUAGGAGAGAAUAGAUAUCUUUAAAAUUGAGUCUUCUAUCCAACUGCAAGUUAUAGCUGAGGUGGUACCAGUUUAAGAAGUGAGAACUUCUUCAUUGACUGAUAUUUGCAUAUCAAUCCAAAUCAUUGUGCUUGUUUACUAUUUUUGUAGACGUCAUUCUUCAAAAGUGCUGCAUCUUUCAUAGUCAAGGAGGACAAAGACAUCUUUCCUGCAGGUGGUGACCAUGUGGAUAAUGGGAUUAUAGCCAAAUGGUGGUUUCAUCUACAGCAUCACCAAAAUGCUGUUGUUAUUGCUUCUUUCUGGGAUCUUCUUGCAUCUUUGCUUCUCAAGGGGCACAGCUUUUAUAGAAGUAUGUCCAGGAAUAGAAGUGACCUGCUUUUUGGCAAGUAAUUGCCUGGAAUGUCUUUAUGUACUUCUCUGCGCUCUCAAUACAUUUCAUGCUUCCCUCUAUUUUUGUGUAUUAACUCAUUGUAUUUCUUAAAUUUAUAUUUUACUUUUUGAAUGGAAGUGAGAUUUGUGUAUGGUAAAUAUAAUUAAUUCAACCCCAUGGACACGCUAGUCACUGUCCAGAUUAUGGCAAGUCUUUCUCAGAAGCAGAGGGCCUUGGUGUGCCAGUGAUUUUUUUCCCCCCAUGUGUAAGAUACUUUUUUUCCUCAUUUGAAUCAGGAGCCCACAGUUUUUGGACAAGUUUCAAAUGAAAUCUUAAGCAUUUGUGUUGUCUGGACUAGACCUUCUGUAGUAUCCUUUUUGUUAGACCUAGUAUAUUUCAUUCCAGAUCAGUAUCUGAGAGUGACUAUAAUUCACCUCUUUCAAAGUACACAAACUUGGAUGACAUGACAAUUGAGUGUGUAAGGGAGAGCGAGACCCUUGCACUGCCAUUUUGAGCCAUUGUGAUCUCAUCUUGUAGAACAUGUUGUAUAAUCAUUUUCUUGGUAUCACUAGUGUUCUUUGGGGCUGGAAUAAAAAUCUUAAGUGUACCAAAGAGAUUUCCCCUUUAUCCACAUUA